rnacentral:rRNA from 1 species
GACAGAGGGUGCAAACGUUGUUCGGAAUUACUGGGCGUAAAGCGCGUGUAGGCGGCCCUGCAAGUCGGAUGUGAAAUCCCACGGCUCAACCGUGGAAGUGCAUUCGAAACUGCAGGGCUAGAGUCCUGGAGAGGAAGGUGGAAUGCUUGGUGUAGAGGUGAAAUUCGUAGAUAUCAAGCGGAACACCGGUGCGAAGGCGGCCUUCUGGACAGUGACUGACGCUGAGACGCGAAAGCGUGGGGAGCAAACAGGG